GGAUCGAUAGCUCAGUGGUAGAGCGAGAGAUUGCAGUUACACGCAGUUUAUCUCUAGGCCCCGCGUUCGAAUCGCGGUCGGUCCU
rfam:Colletotrichum fioriniae PJ7 Scaffold_399.1, whole genome shotgun sequence.